UGAGGAAUAUUGGUCAAUGGGCGCAAGCCUGAACCAGCCAAGUCGCGUGAAGGAAGACGGCCCUAUGGGUUGUAAACUUCUUUAGGGUGGGAACAAAGGACGCCACGUGUGGCGAGAUGAGUGUACCACCAGAAUAAGCAUCGGCUAACUCCGUGCCAGCAGCCGCGGUAAUACGGAGGAUGCGAGCGUUAUCCGGAUUUAUUGGGUUUAAAGGGUGCGUAGGCGGUUUGUCAAGUCAGCGGUCAAACUGCGGGGCUUAACCUCGUAUUGCCGUUGAAACUGGCUGACUAGCGUGGCGUCGAGGUGUGCGGAAUGCGUUGUGUAGCGGUGAAAUGCAUAGAUAUGACGCAGAACUCCGAUUGCGAAGGCAGCACACCGGGCGCCUACGGACGCUGAGGCACGAAAGCGUGGGUAUCGAACAGG
rnacentral:rRNA from 1 species